CAUAAGUUGGUCGACACAAUAGGUUGUCAUGUUCAAUCAUUAGGAUCUCCUAACAUGUCACCAGACAUAACAACCACUUUUAUAAGGCCAACACAUCUAAAGGUAUUGGGAAAAACCUGUUUCUGCCUUUUGCAAAGCCCCCCACUGGUCAAAUUAUGCAAUGUUUUUUUGCGUAACCUCAGUAAGUACUGACGGUAAGUGUGGGAGGGGCGGGAGCUGAAAAUAAGAGGUGAAGAGGGUAUUUAAGGGCAGCUGUAGAGACGGUUUUCAUGCCGUUGAGACGCCGCUGCUGUUUCUUCUGAAGCCACCAUGAAGCUGAGCAUUGUCAUCUCCCUCUGCGCUCUACUUUACCUCUCUGGUCAUACUUUGGCCACAUCACCACUAUUUCCGGGAUAUGGAAAGGGACAGCAAAAAAUAAUAGAACCAAUUAAGCUUGAUUGUGAUGCCCUGGAGGAGGCAGUUCGUAAGAUUAAGACUAAGGGGUUUAUUGGUGACACCUGCUCUUUCGUGUACGACCCUCUCUGUGGCUCCGACGGCCUCACCUAUGAAAAUGGCUGUAAGUUCUGCCGUGCCAAACGAGCAAAAUUCAUUUUGGUCCAACAUCGCGGGGUAUGUGAGUGAACGCAGCAGAGGGAGCAGUGCCAUACUACUACUGAGAGCCACGCCUCCACUGAGAGCCACGCCUCCACUUGUCCUCACCGAGCUGAACCCUGACCCUGACUCUAACCCUAGUAUGACAGCAGGAUGCAGGUGUAAUUAAAAAUAUUAAAUAGUAAACAUUACCUGAUGGCCUCUUAUAUCUGAUAGAUGACACACACACACACACACACACACACAAAUAAGCAUGUUACGACAGCAGGAUGCAGGUGUAAUAAAAAAUAUAAAAUAGUGAACA
rnacentral:lncRNA from 1 species